UACGGAGGAUGCAAGCGUUAUCCGGAUUUAUUGGGUUUAAAGGGUGCGUAGGCGGGACUGUAAGUCAGGGGUGAAAUACUGCAGCUUAACUGUAGCAUUGCCUUUGAAACUGCCGUUCUUGAGUACAGUUGAGGUAGGCGGAAUGUGGUGUGUAGCGGUGAAAUGCAUAGAUAUACCACAGAACGCCGAUUGCGAAGGCAGCUUACUAAGCUGUUACUGACGCUGAGGCACGAAAGCGUGGGGAUCAAACAGGAUUAGAUACC
rnacentral:rRNA from 1 species